AAAAUGCGAUACCUGGUGUGAAUUGCAGAAUCCCGCGAACCAUCGAGUUUUUGAACGCAAGUUGCGCCCGAGGCCUUCCGGCCGAGGGCACGUCUGCCUGGGCGUCACGCCAAAAGACACUCCCAACCCACCCGAGGGGGAGGGACGUGGUGUUUGGUCCCCCGUGCCGCAGGGCGCGGUGGGCCGAAGUUGGGGCUGCCGGCGAAUCGUGUCGGGCACAGCACGUGGUGGGCGACACUCAGUUGUUCUCGGUGCAGCGCCCCGGCACGCGGCCGGCGCAUCGGCCCUAAGGACCCAAGGAGCACCGCAGCGCGUAGCCGCUCGGACCGCGACCCCAGGUCAGUCGGGACUACCCGCUGAGUUUAA
rnacentral:misc_RNA from 1 species